rnacentral:rRNA from 1 species
CCCUUAGAUGUUCGGGGCCGCACGCGCGCUACAAUGGUCUUCGCAAACGGAUGCAUUCUCGAAGGAGAAUGCCAAUCUUGGAAUCUAUGCCUUGGUCGGGACAGUUGCUUGCAAUUUUUCGACUCGAACCAGGAAUUCCUUGUAAUCGUGAUUCAUCACAUCACGAUGAAUACGUCCCUGCCCUUUGUACACACCGCCCGUCGCUCCUACCGAUCGAAGAGUUAGGUGAAUUGUUUUGAUCGAUAAGAUUUGACUAUGGUCAACUCUCGUUGUGAAAUUCUGUGAAUCUGACUGUUUAGAGGAAGGAAAAGUCGUAACA